rnacentral:rRNA from 1 species
UACAGAGGGUGCAAGCGUUGUUCGGAAUUAUUGGGCGUAAAGGGCGCGUAGGCGGUGCGGUAAGUCUGCAGUGAAAUCUCUGGGCUCAACUCAGAGUCUGCUGUAGAAACUGCCGUGCUUUGAGUGUGGGAGAGGUGAGUGGAAUUCCCGGUGUAGCGGUAGAAAUGCGUAGAUAUCGGGAGGAACACCUGGUGGCGAAAGCGGCUCACUGGACCACAACUGACGCUGAGGCGCGAAAGCUAGGGGAGCAAACAGGG